GAAAACCCGAAGACACGAAGGUAGGAAGGCUGAAGAAACCAAAGGGGCAAAAAGAAGAAAGGAUGUUGACAGCGUUCUCUCUGUUGAGUCUGUCCCUAGUGACAUUCGGUUCUACCAUCAGACCCUGGAUGUCCUCCUCCAGUUUAACCAUCCCGACCCUGCAUCUCCCACCGGGAAAGAAGGAAACCAAAUUUCCCAUAGGAAAUGGCUUCUCCUAGUCUUUCAAAAGCUUCAAGCUCCAAAUGAAAUCUGACCAAAGAAACAAAUUAGAUAAACUGCAGCGCUAAGGGUUUUGGAUUGCUCUCAGAUUAAAGAAUCUGCAGCAUCGUUAGGCCAGGGCAGAACCAUCUUCUGCAGCCUGGGGCAAAAAUAAAGUUUUCCUCCCUUCAGCGGUCCUCACUGGGCCAGGGUGCAUUUUCGGAAGAUAAUUGACAGAGGGAAGUAAACAGACCCAGGGAUCUGCAGAAACCUGAGAGUCCACGGAAGCCAGGCAAGAAGGAGACCAGAUGGGCCCAGUAAACCAUGCCAAAGCAGACACAGGCUAAAUAUGCACAAAGGAAGAAGAGGAGGAGGAGGAGGGAGAGGAAAUGACCAGGAAGCAUCCUUGAAAACAUGCGUGGGAGAGAAACAAGCCCAUAUUCCCAGGACAAUUCUGUGCAGGCAGUCAAGGAGAAAACAGGGAAAAUAUGAGGAAGGACG